GUUCACAGGUGUUCACAAGAGGAUACACAGUUUUUCCUAUGCCAAGGAAAUUCAUGAGCAGUACAAUCUCUUCAGGCCUAUGCUGGAGGACCCUACUGAAAGUUUAGCAAGUAUACACUGAUGGUGUUUCGUGAUAUAUUUGUUUUGUGAUCACACAGAGGACAACCAUUUCCAGGGCUGGCAUUUUAACAGACACAGUUAAAAGCAUUAAAAACAAUAGAAAGAAGCAGAGAGAAACCUGAUAAGUCUGCUCCUUCAUUUCAUCACCUUCUAGCAAAACCUUCUAAGGCUUGGAGUUUUUCUAAGGGUAGAUAUAGAUUUGAAGGUCAUGAUUACAGCUAUAAUGUAAAGAAACUGAAGUGACCUGCAAGAAUACUGUAUCCUUCCUGCUCUGAGAUGGUCACAGAACAACUCAUAAAAGACUGAGAUGCAGGAAACAAAAAAGAGAGAAAACAGAAAAGAAAAAAAAAAAAAGAGAGAGAGAAAAAAAAAAGAGAGAGAGAAAAAAAAAAGAGAGAGAAAAAAAAAAGAAAAAAGAACAGAGCACAAAACCUCCUAUUGUCUGUAAAAUUUGCUUCAUUCAGAGAAAAUCAUGUCAAGCAACCUUACAACAAAAGCUACAUGAACUUAUGCCUCACAUUCAUUUGUGUUCUUUUAUACCAUUUCAGACUGUUCAUUCCUUGAAGUUGAAGUUAUCCUUUGAAGACAACUUCAAUUUAAAUGACAUAUUUUGGACUUUUACUUUCUUUAAUAUACAUGCUUACUACAAAAUACAAAGUAAUCCACAAUUAUCAAAUAUAUUUUCUACUUAAGUAGCAUGAAGCAGAUGACAGUUUCAAAACAGAUUUUAAUUUCAAAUUAAGACUCUGUUAGGGAGUAUAAAAUCAUAGUACUGUGAUCUCCUAGGUCAUUACUGCACAAUGACAUCUUAGGCACUUUUCUGGAAAAUGCUAGCAAUCUGCUAGAUUUCUUACACAUUAUCAAUAGAUAUAUUUCCUUUGAUUUUACUAGAAUUUGGAUCGGACCCUAGACAGCAGUUCUUAUUAA